CCGCUAAUAAAUAAUCAAAUAGAAAUAAUGAACCGAGCAAAAGAUCAGAAUAAAUGAUCUUCAGACAGAAGUUUAUAGUUUCCUGUCAUAGGAGCUUUUGACAUUUCUAGACAGUUGUUAACUAGAGAAAAUUCAUGUUUAGGUUUUUACACAAUGGGAGGGGAUUCAGAGAAACAACAUGUAUGUAUAGACUGCAGUCACCCACAGUGAUGUAGGUCAAUACUUAUGCAGCUAAAUAACAGAGACGCAGAGGCUCCGUCUCAUCAACCGGCCAGUAAGUAAAGUUAUUGUCUUCACACCUGAGCUAACUCUCCACACACGCGCAGACGCACAGCGGCGACUUCACAGGAGAGGCCUUAGCAACAGCAACUAAGGGGUGGAUCUUAGCGAAGGCGGUCAUCUCAAACGAGCUCCCUGUGACCGCGAGACGAGGUGAGAUCGCGAGAAUACAAAGUAGAGGAAACAGACGGUCCAGAGACCAGCCUGACCGGGACCACCGCAAGACCGGGAUGAAGGAGGAGAACCAGGACCCGGAUUUCAUCGAUCGGACCGGGAUGAAGGAGGAGAACCAGGACCCGGAUUUCAUCGAUCGGACCGGGAUAAAGGAGGAGAACCAGGACCCGGAUUUCAUCGAUCGGACCGGGAUGAAGGAGGAGAACCAGGACCCGGAUUUCAUCGAUCGGACCGGGAUAAAGGAGGAGAACCAGGACCCGGAUUUCAUCGAUCGGACCGGGAUAAAGGAGGAGAACCAGGACCCGGAUUUCAUCGAUCGGACCAGGAUAAAGGAGGAGAACCAGGAUCCGGGCUGGAGCCUGGAGGCCGCCGGUCCCGCCGGUCUACAGGAGAGUUGGCCGUCAAUCAGAUGCCUUAGCAACAGUAACUAAGGGGGGAGGAGCGUAGCGAGCUCAGGCUCGAACGAGUUUCCAGUGACCGCGAGACGCGGCGAGAUCGAGAGUUAAAGUGGCGCCAACAGACAGAGUCCAGCACAAAGAGACCAGAGAGACCUGGACCAGGACAAGACCGAGAUGGAGGAGCAGAACCAGGACCCGGAUUUCAUUGAUCCCAGUCACAUAUUUUAUGUGUCAAAAACAGAGAGGCAUAAAGGUGUUUAGCUGUGACCAUGUGCGAAGACUUUUACUACUUCAAGUCAUUAAAACCCAGCGACGCCUCGACCCCGGAGAGGAACCACAGCUGUGGUCGGCGUGGGGAAGCUUUCAGUAGAUUGAGGAGCCUGAACAACCAUCAGCAGCACCACGCCGUUCAGACACACAGCGCCAGGCCGACUGCUUUCCUCCACGUUACUGAACCCUGACCCCCCGACAAUAACAGUAACCUCUAGAACUCACUGUACAACAUGUGUCAUUGAUGCAGACGCUCGUCAGUGAGAAGAGUCAUCCAGCCGAGGAAGAACUAGAAUCCGCCUCUGAACUCCAGCUGGGACUGAACCUACAGACGCAGCUUGGUGCUGUUGGACGAAGGAAACCACCUGAGCUCGACACGUUGCACUCUGGGAAACUAGAGACGUCACAAUAACAGAAAUGUAGUAGUUGAUACCAGUGAAAUGCCAAGAUUAACAUAAAUAAAUUCCAUGUUCUUUCUCUUUCACUCCUUUAUUGAAACUAAGACAAAGAUCAGUGGCAUGUCGCCUUCAAGUAUUAAAGUUCAUACUUUGCUAAAAUAUGAGCAGUAAACUUUUUAUUGCACAGCUUUUCAACUGCAUCAAAACUGCAUCAGACACUUUUCACUGUCAUAAAUGAACUUUUCUGACUUUUAUUUGCUUCAAAUAGAUUUUAUGUGAUUUACUGAAUAAAUCAGUCAGAAUGAA